rnacentral:rRNA from 1 species
UACGUAGGGUGCAAGCGUUGUCCGGAAUUAUUGGGCGUAAAGAGCUCGUAGGCGGUUUGUCGCGUCUGCUGUGAAAUCCCGAGGCUCAACCUCGGGCUUGCAGUGGGUACGGGCAGACUAGAGUGCGGUAGGGGAGAUUGGAAUUCCUGGUGUAGCGGUGGAAUGCGCAGAUAUCAGGAGGAACACCGAUGGCGAAGGCAGAUCUCUGGGCCGUAACUGACGCUGAGGAGCGAAAGCAUGGGGAGCGA